GUGCCAGCAGCCGCGGUAAUACGGAGGAUGCGAGCGUUAUCCGGAUUUAUUGGGUUUAAAGGGUGCGUAGGCUGUUAUUCAAGUCAGUGGUAAAAGGUACAGGCUUAACUUGUAUACGCCAUUGAUACUGAAUAGCUGGGAUAUGGAUGAAGUGUGCGGAAUGUGUGGUGUAGCGGUGAAAUGCAUAGAUAUCACACAGAACACCGAUAGCGAAGGCAGCACACUAAGGCAAUAUUGACGCUGAGGCACGAAAGUGUGGGGAUCAAACAGGAUUAGAUACCCUGGUAGUCCACACUGUAAACGAUGAUAACUAGCUGUUGGCGAUAGAAUGUCAGGAGCGAAGCGAAAGCGAUAAGUUAUCCACCUGGGGAGUACGGCCGCAAGGUUGAAACUUAAAUGAAUUGGCGG
rnacentral:rRNA from 1 species